UUCGUCCAGGGGGCCGCCUUCGCCACCGGUAUUCCUCCAGAUCUCUACGCAUUUCACCGCUACACCUGGAAUUCUACCCCCCUCUACGAGACUCAAGCUUGCCAGUAUCAGAUGCAGUUCCCAGGUUGAGCCCGGGGAUUUCACAUCUGACUUAACAAACCGCCUGCGUGCGCUUUACGCCCAGUAAUUCCGAUUAACGCUUGCACCCUCCGUAUUACCGCGGCUGCUGGCACGGAGUUAGCCGGUGCUUCUUCUGCGGGUAACGUCAAUGAGUAAAGGUAUUAACUUUACUCCCUUCCUCCCCGCUGAAAGUACUUUACAACCCGAAGGCCUUCUUCAUACACGCGGCAUGGCUGCAUCAGGCUUGCGCCCAUUGUGCAAUAUUCCCCACUGCUGCCUCCCGUAGGAGUCUGGACCGUGUCUCAGUUCCAGUGUGGCUGGUCAUCCUCUCAGACCAGCUAGGGAUCGUCGCCUAGGUGAGCCGUUACCCCACCUACUAGCUAAUCCCAUCUGGGCACAUCCGAUGGCAAGAGGCCCGAAGGUCCCCCUCUUUGGUCUUGCGACGUUAUGCGGUAUUAGCUACCGUUUCCAGUAGUUAUCCCCCUCCAUCAGGCAGUUUCCCAGACAUUACUCACCCGUCCGCCACUCGUCAGCGAAGCAGCAAGCUGCUUCCUGUUACCGUUCGACUUGCAUGUGUUA
rnacentral:rRNA from 1 species